GAUGAACGCUGGCGGCGUGCUUAACACAUGCAAGUCGAACGGGAAACCUUUUAUUGAAGCUUCGGCAGAUUUAGCUGGUUUCUAGUGGCGGACGGGUGAGUAACGCGUGGGUAACCUGCCUUAUACAGGGGGAUAACAACCAGAAAUGGUUGCUAAUACCGCAUAAGCGCACAGGACCGCAUGGUCUAGUGUGAAAAACUCCGGUGGUAUAAGAUGGACCCGCGUUGGAUUAGCUAGUUGGCAGGGUAACGGCCUACCAAGGCGACGAUCCAUAGCCGGCCUGAGAGGGUGAACGGCCACAUUGGGACUGAGACACGGCCCAGACUCCUACGGGAGGCAGCAGUGGGGAAUAUUGCACAAUGGGGGAAACCCUGAUGCAGCGACGCCGCGUGAAGGAAGAAGUAUCUCGGUAUGUAAACUUCUAUCAGCAGGGAAGAUAGUGACGGUACCUGACUAAGAAGCCCCGGCUAACUACGUGCCAGCAGCCGCGGUAAUACGUAGGGGGCAAGCGUUAUCCGGAUUUACUGGGUGUAAAGGGAGCGUAGACGGACUGGCAAGUCUGAUGUGAAAGGCGGGGGCUCAACCCCUGGACUGCAUU
rnacentral:rRNA from 1 species